CCGCCCCCGCCCCCUUUCUCUUUAAGUCUAACUCGCUCCUCUCCCUCUUCCUGGAGUCUACCCGCUGUUCCUGAAACAGCUUUACGCACGAUGGAGGUCCACAUCCUCGUGCAGGAAGUGCUCACGGAGUGAGAUGGCAGACCUCGCUCCCCGGGAAAAGUGAGUACCCACCGCGCGCGAAGCCGAGGGCGCGGGGGCGGCGCCAGAGUCGCGGGUUCGAGGCCAAGUGCAGGCAGACGCGCACCGGCGGCUGGGCUUGGGCUGCUCCGGAAGACGCCAGAAACCCGCCGGAGCCGCCGAGCGGGCAGCCUAGGGCAGAGCCGGGACUCUGACAGCACGGAGGUCCCCUCCCAAAGGAACUAAAAAGAUUGUAUCCGCCACCAGCCUCGCCGCUUGUACGACGGCACACAUUAGUCUUUAUAAAAAGCAUCUUGAGGAUGAGUUUCGGCGUGACUGGGGGAUUCUCAGAAGAUACAUUAUUCAAGUCAAAUUGAAAAGAAAAAAAGAGCGGGGAGGGGAAGGAGCUCAGACAGGUGAUGUGCGGCCGGCGGGCUUGAGGAUUCUCCCAGCAUCAGCCGCGGCCGCCUCCGGGUAUCCGGCGGAAAGUUGAGCGAUCGCUGUGCCGACCCGAAAGGUGUGGCUCCCCGCCCCCUCAGAGGCAGUGCGGGUAGUGACAGGUAAGCAGCCUCCUGGCUGUCACCCGUAGCUCAGCCGAAGGGAGGCAGCCUGACCUCAGCGAAGGAAUUCCAGCUGGAGAAGCAGCUUCAGGAACCGCUGGAGGAGAGAGGACGAGAGAGCAGAGGAGAGGAGGGGGAAGUUGGGCAAACAGGUGUCAUGGACCCCAGAGAACCAUCCGAAUCAUAUUUUCAUUGGGUAGCAACUCCAUCAGUCUAGCAUAAAAUUGAGGUUUCUACCUAUGUAUGAACUAACUCCAUCUUCAGAGUGACCCUGUAUAAACUCAUGACUAAAAUUUCUUGUAUGUACAAUUUGGAAAUCAAGUUGCCAGAGGCUUGAUAAUCAUGAGAUUGGAAGAUAAAGGUUAAGCCUUCCUGCCAUCCAUGUAUUAAAUUUCCCAGUUGCUAUGUUGAUCUUUAGUCAGCCAACCCUUGCUUUCCUGUCUCAGCCAUUUUAAAGCCAAUUAACUCCGUUCCUGUCCACACCCUUAUUAAAAAUAUAAUUAUAGCAGUGUUCUCUGUCAUUGGGUAGACUUUAUGAGGUGAAUUGGCCAAGAACUAACUAGGUUGUGUAAAACUCUCUCAGGCUCAGGAGAUCAUUUGGGUUGCAGAGGCUACCAGCAAGAGCCUGGGCUAGGAGAGCCAUGAAUGUGGGUUUGGAAAGAACCAAUUGCAAGUCAUACCAAAUUGAGAAGAACUUAGAGUAUGGAAAAGGAUUCUAAGAUCAGUCUGAGAAUAAUUAUCCAGGGUCCAGUUAAAUCUAAGAUGGCAGCCCUUCUCAAAAAGUUGUAUAAAUACCAAAAAGUAACCAAGAUUUUGUAUUAGAUUUGGCAGGGAUUGAAAGGAUGGGCCACUCUACUUUUCUUGAGUGCUGAGAUGGCAGGAUUAGGAGAUAAGAAGUUGCCAAGGAGAUAGCAAGGAGAAGGAUGAACAAAGGCCUGCUGUUGUCCAAGCAUUGUGGGCACUGACAAUUGUUAUUCACUCAACUAAUAUUUAUGUAGCGUCUGUUUUGUGCCAAGGACCCUUCGAGGAGCUGGAGUUGAAGAGAUGGUGUUCUUGUUCAUGUGGAGUUUACAUUGCAGUGAGAGCAAACAGAUAUCCGUACUAAGAAUAAUACUAAGAUAAAUAAAAUCAGUUAGUUGGUACUAUGAAGAAAAAUGAAGUGAGAUAAAGUGGUCAGACUGGCGAGGGCUGCUUUCAAUAGGCUUACAAGAGUCACUGUCUCUGAAGAGGUGACAUUUGAGCUAGCAUGUGUAAAGAGAAACCCACACAGAGAUCAGGGGAAAAAAAAAACUGGCAGAGGGAUCAGCAACAGCAAAAGCUCUGAGUUGAAAAAGGUUUUGCAUAUUCUGAAAAUAGAAAGACCAAUGUGCCUGGACACUUAGGAAGGAAGGAGUGGAGUCAAAUAGGAAAAUAGCCCAAAGAGUCUGAGGUCAUGAGUGGAAUUAGGGUUAAUGCUCUAAGGGAAUCACUGGGAGUGUUUAAGUAAGGAUGUAAUGUGCAUUUUAGAGCUCUCCUGGCUCCUGUGUACAGAGUGGAUUGUAGACAGAGCAGAGGGAAAGAUGGGAGGUUGACCAGGAGUUUGGCAAGAGGAGACUAUAAGUCAGCUGAGGGGUAGCAGUGGGGAGAAGAAUUCUUAGAUUCAGGAGUGAAUGUGAAGGGAGGGCCAGCAAGGCUUCUAGAUGCAUAAGGGCAAUGACAGUGAGGCCAGACCUUGUCCUGUCUAAGAUCAUUGCCCCUCCCCUAUCUUGACUUGG
ensembl:lncRNA